GGGUACAGGACGGAUGGUCGACCAGUUGGAAAGUAAUUGUUUCUAAUGUACUUCACCUGGUCCACUAGCUGUCCGUACCCACUGCAGCCUGC
ensembl:miRNA